GAAAAUUAUUCUACAUAAGGCAAAGGUCUCAUUUCAACAUCUCUUCCCUUGCAAAAAAAUCAAAUCUUGUUAACAUGACGGUGUCGAAGAGGGUAGCGGAGAAGAAGGUGGCGAAGUUCGAGAAGAACAUAAGCAGAAGAGGAGGGGCUUCCAACAAGACCGCCUUGGAGCCGUCUCACAUUGUUCUUAUUCUCUUCGUCGUCUUGGCUGUCGCCUCCUUUAUCUUCCAAGUGGUGAGAAUGGCAAUGAAUGGUGGAAAUCCAGAGCAAGACUCUUGAUGUUGAUGAAACCCUCUUUGAACUCAUAAUCUCACUUUUUGUUUGUAUUGAG